CUGCUACUUUAAGAGCUUCUGCUGCUGAACUUAAUGUGGAUCUGACACUGCUGUAAAUGUGACGAAUAAAUAAUAAAUAUUUGCUUGCAAAGGUUUAAGACAGGGUUAACUGUCACUUGUCACUUGUCACUUGUUUGUAGUGAUAUUUUUAGGGGGGACAGCCCUCAGAUAGGGGGCUCCUGGUCUUUGUUGGAUGAUGCUAAUCAUGGCGUGUGAAAUGUUUUGAAAAGCUUGUCCACUUUCAACCACUUCUAGAUGUAGUUGAGUGUGUAAACAUUAUGGAAAUAGAAAGCGUACAAGCCGGACAAAAUUUGAGAAGCAGGCUUUAAAAAAUGGGAUUUAUGCAUGAAGAUAAUAAUAAAAUCAAACUUGACACAACAAGCUAGAACAGGAAGAGAAAACUAGAAAAUAAGAAAUGACCACCAUUAGUCAUGACAGAGUCACAUAACUUCAGAAGUUAUUAUACUGUUAUGAUUCACUGAUGUUUUUAACUGUAUAGGGUUGUGUAGUCACUGUGGAUUGUCAUGACUUACUAGUCUAUCACAUGAUUAACUGAUUUAUGUUGUCUCGUAGUGUGUCGGCACGAGCUCCAACCUGGUCACCUCCCUGUUUCCAAUGUUGAAAACAGCCGUGGAGAAGAACAAACCUGUUUUGGCAGUGAGGUACCUGAUGAAAGCCAAAGAGUGGAUCGCUGACAUCAUAACACAAGUGGAUGACAUUGUGAAGAGAUAUGAUAAACACAACGCAAGUGUGAAAACAUGCACCAGUGACGUGUAUCAAGAACAAGCAGAGACCAAAGAAAAAAAAGAGAAAAAAUCUGAUGAGAUGAAGGGUCUGGAGGAUGCUCUGAACAAGCUCCAACUGGAUCUGAAAAGAGUAGUCGACAAAAUGGAGAUGAAUGAGAAUCAAAUAAAAAGAAACACUGAUGAACUGAACAGCUUCAUCAGAAGAUUUCAGGAAGAACAUUGCCACUGGACUGUGAAGUUCCUUGCCUUUUUUAUAGGCUAUCCAGACGCUAUGAAGCAGCCUACUGCCAUCGCUCUGGACAGAGCACUGAAACAACUCGACUCUGAGAAGAGCCUUCUACGAAAUGAAGAGAGGAACAUCAAAAUUUGUCCUCAGUCCUUAUAAGUAAUAAGCAAUAUUUUAAAAUCUAUACAAUGUUUGAUAGGGAGCCAGUGCAGUGUGGACAGGACCGGGCUAAUAUGGUCAUACUUCCUGGUUCUAGUAAGAACUCUUGCUGCUGCAUUUUGGACUAGCUUUUCACAGUGUCUGGGUUGUGUUCCCUGGGUUUCCACUAGGUGUCCUCCGUUCCCUCGGUGUCUGUCACCUUAUCACUUCCUGUUCCCUUAUUUGGUCACCUUCCUCCUUGUUUUAGUUAAUUGAUUGUUCCCCACUUGUCUCCUGUUCCCUCAUUAUCCUUCUGUGUAUUUAUACCCGGUCUGUCUGAGUCUGUGUUACGGAGUCCUUGUUGAAUGUUAAUUCAAGUUCUGGUUUUGACCCUGCCUGGACUGUUUACCCAUUUGGAUUACCCUUUAAUAAAAUCUCAUACCUGCAUUUGGUUGUCUAUGAAACCUAUGUUAUUCUGUGGGCACCACUUAACAUGCAUCUCGUCACCAUGGUAGGCAGGGAGGGGACCAGAGCAUAUCAUUCACUCAG
rnacentral:lncRNA from 1 species